rnacentral:rRNA from 1 species
CCAUGCAUGUCUAAGUACAUGCCGUAUUAAGGCGAAACCGCGAAUGGCUCAUUAAAUCAGUUAUGGUUCCUUGGAUCGUACCUUACUACUUGGAUAACUGUGGCAAUUCUAGAGCUAAUACAUGCAGCAGAGCUCCGACCUUCGGGGACGAGCGCUUUUAUUAGACCAAAACCAAUCGGACCUCGCGUCCGUAUCUGGUGGUGACUCUGUAUAACUUUGGGCUGAUCGCACGGGCCUGUCCCGGCGACGUAUCUUUCAAGUGUCUGCCUUAUCAACUUUCGAUGGUAGGUUACGCGCCUACCAUGGUCGUAACGGGUAACGGGGAAUCAGGGUUCGAUUCCGGAGAGGGAGCCUGAGAAACGGCUACCACAUCCAAGGAAGGCAGCAGGCGCGCAAAUUACCCACUCCCGGAACGGGGAGGUAGUGACGAAAAAUAACAAUACGGGACUCUUUUGAGACCCCGUAAUUGGAAUGAGUACACUCUAAAUCCUUUAACGAGGAUCUAUUGGAGGGCAAGUCUAGUGCCAGCAGCCGCGGUAAUUCUAGCUCCAAUAGCGUAUAUUAAAGUUGUUGCGGUUAAAAAGCUCGUAGUUGGAUCUCAGUUCCAGACGGGUGGUCCGCCUACCGGUGGUUACUGCCUGUUCUGAACAGCCAGCCGGUUUCUCUUGAUGAUCUUCACCGGUUGUCUUGGGUGACCGGCAAGUUUACUUUGAAAAAAUUAGAGUGCUCAAAGCAGGCGUGACGCCUGAAUAAUGGUGCAUGGAAUAAUGGAAUAGGACCUCGGUUCUAUUUUGUUGGUUUUCGGAACACGAGGUAAUGAUUAAGAGGGACAGACGGGGGCAUUCGUAUUGCGACGCUAGAGGUGAAAUUCUUGGACCGUCGCAAGACGAACUACUGCGAAAGCAUUUGCCAAGAAUGUUUCCAUUAAUCAAGAACGAAAGUUAGAGGUUCGAAGGCGAUCAGAUACCGCCCUAGUUCUAACCAUAAACGAUGCCAGCCAGCGAUCCGGCUGUGUUCCUCAAAUGACACGCCGGGCAGCUUCCGGGAAACCAAAGCUUUUGGGUUCCGGGGGAAGUAUGGUUGCAAAGCUGAAACUUAAAGGAAUUGACGGAGGGGCACCACCAGGAAUGGAGCCUGCGGCUUAAUUUGACUCAACACGGG